rnacentral:sRNA from 1 species
UGUGAUGUGUGAAAAGACCUGGGCACUGCUGGCUCUGGAACUUGGUCUCGCUGGUACAGAUUGUUGCCAACCUUGGAAACUGAAAUAGGCCAUUUUGCACAUGGCACAUCAUCCCUCUGUAGGAGGAAUGGGGUUUAUAAAUGUUAGUUGGCUACUAUUCCCUCCUCCAGAUAGACUGAUACUCCCAGAAGCAUAAAAGCAUCCACUGCUACAGCUGAACAGUUUUUUCAGAAGCUGAGAAAUAAACAUGAAUUUACUAUUUUGGUGACCCUAAAACAGACCCACUUAAAUUCAGGAGUUAUUAUCUCAAUUCACCACUUGGAUCACAGGUACCUGGAACUGGAAAGUAGUGGCCAUCGGAAUGAAGUCAGACUGCAUUACCGCUCAGGCAGUCACCGCCCUCACACAGAAGUGUUUCCUUACAUUUUGGCUGAUGACAAGUGGCACAAGCUCUCCUUAGCCAUCAGUGCUUCCCAUUUGAUUUUACACAUUGACUGCAAUAAAAUUUAUGAAAGGGUAGUAGAAAAGCCCUCCACAGACUUGCCUCUAGGCACAACAUUUUGGCUAGGACAGAG